rnacentral:lncRNA from 1 species
AGUUCUAACACAGUCGUGGGGCGCCAGCGAACGGCGAGGGCAGCCGGCCGGUGCCGGGUCCCAGCACUUGCCCUAUUUUUGUCCAGGCGGAGCGGCGACCAGACCCUGCGGAGAGCGGGGGCGGCCCUCUCAGUCUUUGCGGUUCCUCCCCCUCUUGCCCUGCCUCCUCCCCCUGGCCGCCGUCCUAAAACGCGGCGGGCGCCUUUAAGAGGGAGCUCGGUUACCCUGGGGGCGGGAGCCCCUCGGCAGAGAGCGAGGCGGCGGCGCUCUCCGCGAUGCUCCUCACUUUCUGCUCCUGCUCCCGCCGCCGCUGCCGCCACCCUCGCCUCCUCCUCCUCCGCCUCGAAGCGUCGUUUUCUGCAGCCGGGGAGAGAAGUGCUAUGUCAGGAAAGUUCCGGGAGGGACUGGCUGGGGCCAUGCUCCCCGGGCUCUCCUGCAGGCGCCCGCGCGCAGCUCUUUGUACGAGACCUCCCUGCCUGCUGCCUUAUGCAUAGAAGAGACUCUCAAAAAAGCAGAGGAAAUCCACACCAGCUCUAGAGAGAAAAGCUACUCUCUUUUUUAUUCAAAAAUAUCUACCAGAUAUAUGACAAGAAACAAAAGAGUGAUAAAACAAACAGAAUAAUUGUCCUUGGAAGAGACAGACUAAUUAAGGAACAGAAAAGAAUAUAUGAAAACUUUAGGAAAGUUUCAAGAAAAUGACAUCUGGAAAAUAACGGGAUGCAUUAAAAUAGCAACAUCAAAGAGUAAGGAAGAACUCUUGAAAACUAGGGAUUGUUUGCUGAAAUUAAAAUAAUUAAAUGGAAAUCUUGAAAGUGAAUAUUAGAAAUUUCCUAUAACAGUGCAAAAAGAGAGGCACAAAACGUAUAGGCAAAGAGACAGGCUCAGUCAAGUUCGUCUAAUAUCUGAAUACUUGGAAUUCCAGAAGAUACAGCAGAGUAAAUGAGGAGAUGAAAAUACCAAAUAAAUAAUAGAAGCCUCUCUUGUGCUCUGGGAAAUAAUCCAAACCUUUGGACUGACAAGUUCUGAGGACCCAGCAAAAUGGAUGGAGGCAAUAUUCUUGUGAAAUUUAAGAACACUAAGUAUAAAGAAAAAAUCCUAGAGAGAUCUUUUAGAGAGACAUCUAGAGAGAAAAGGGAGAUUGUCAAGUCACCAUUAAUCUUUUAACACUUCUUUGCUUUCUGGUCCAGUAAUGUACUUCAGCCUCUGCCCAUACUGUUCCUACCCUAGACCUGGAGUCCACCAUUUUCUAAGCAU